UUUGCCUUCAUUCUGUAGAGCUCCAGUUUCCAGGCUCCAGUUUGGUUCUCACAUAUAAUUGUGUGUCUUGAUUAAUUUUCUGUGAGCUCUUCAUCUGGUCUGGUAUCCUGUGAUUUUCUUUAUUUGCGUUUUUGGCUCUUGCUUGUGCUUAAUUUCUGAGGGGGUAGAGCAGAAGGAGCUUAGUAAAGAGUUCUUUUGCCGAGCAAAAUGGCAGGUUACCCUUUGCCUCUAAUUCCCAUGGCAUCGGGGUCGUUGUGCUGCUCGGAAAUUGAGUUCGUUCCUGGUUCUCACACUGCUCAAAAGCUGGCCUCUUUAUUCAGUGAGGCUGGUUGAGUGAGGCCAGGUGAACAUUUUUGUUUAAUAAAUUCGAUCUUGCUCACAUCUGCUUUGUUUGGGCACCUCAGUGAGAAUCUUUUCCUUGUCGGAAGGUAAAUAGUUUUCAGAUAAGACUAAGAGAUGCAUUUCUUUCUUUCUUUCUUGGGAUCUUUUCCUUCUUUUUUUUUUUUGCGAGCAAAAUUCAUCAUAAUUUGUUUCUGGGUUCUGCUGUUCUGCUCCUCCUCUUUUUGCUGCUAAUUCUUUUUUCAGGAAAUGCUGCAUGAUUCUGUAAACCACUAUUUUUUUUAGAUCAUAAACCACUACUGUUUAAUCAGUACUCCUACAUCUCACAUUUGCAGUGCAAAAACGAGCGAAUAUUUGUACAUUCUUAGUACAAUGUUUGGAAGCAUAAUAUAUUUUUCCUCCCUUUUUCUUUCUUUCUGAAGAACAGAUUGUUGGGGGUCCUGCAUGACAACAGUAGUCUGACAUUAGAGCAGGCUGAGGAGCAUCUGAUUUUAUUCCAUGGAUUUCAUUUCACUCAUCCCACA
rnacentral:lncRNA from 1 species